CCUCCUUAUACGAUUUAGAACUUAUUUGUUCGUAGUGUCCACACAGAUGAUUGUUAGUUAGUUUUACCCUUUGGGUUUAACUGAUUAAUAUGCUCUUUAAAAAUUUGGAAAAGCUGAUAAUAAAAUUCGUAUGAAUAACAGUGUUAUUUGUACAGAGUUUUCAAAAGUAAAAAAGAAUGAUAGCAGUAUCAUUCAGUGCCAAUUUAAUCAUUUAUGAUUAAUUGGUAUCUACUUUAGUAUUCAAUAUUAACUUCUGGCGAAGUUAAACUGUCACAUAACAAAGACCCGUUUGGGUUGUAUGGUUAAGUGACUAANCGUACACGGUGGAUGC
rnacentral:misc_RNA from 1 species